rnacentral:rRNA from 1 species
UACAGAGGGUGCAAGCGUUGUUCGGAAUUAUUGGGCGUAAAGCGCGUGUAGGCGGCUUUGCAAGUCGGAUGUGAAAGCCCUCGGCUCAACCGAGGAAGUGUGUUCGAAACUGCAGAGCUUGAGUACCGGAGAGGGUGGCGGAAUUCCCCAAGUAGAGGUGAAAUUCGUAGAUAUGGGGAGGAACACCGGUGGCGAAGGCGGCCACCUG